GGUUCACAUUUCAUGCCUGGAACAGUGGAUGUCUCAAAGAAGACGCCCUGGCUAUGAUAUAUGCGGCUUUACGUACGAGGUGGAAGAACAGCAGAAGUUUGUUAAUUUUGAAGCUGCACAGCCUGAAGUUCAAAAAGAAAAAUGCCAUAUAUCAGCAUUUGGAUAGUUUGAUGUAGAUCAUCUUCUGAGUGAAAGACCGACAACUUGCAAACAUGUGAGCUACAGUGCGGUCUUCAAAAGUCCUGAGCUCGCACCAAUGACUGCAAUUGGACUGGGUAUGAGGAAAAACAUGGGAAAUUUAUGAUGAGAAAUUGAGAAAGGGUUACAAAGAUGGAUGUGCACAGGAAAGGUUUAAAAUUUUCUUCACGUGCUUCAAUGAUAGGGAUGCCUCUGAAGAGAAGCCUCUGUUGAAGACAUUGGCAUGUCUUUACCUGAGGCUCUUAUACUGAUGAAGUCAUAAACUCACGUGAUGUCUGAUAGGGAAGAUGAUAACCUAUGCUCUCUUAGAGUUUAUGGACUGGAACAUGUUUGUAGCAAACACCUGUUCACUGAAAAGAAAACAUAAAAGCAUGCAUACAUUGUGUUACAUUGUGUUGUUCCUUGUUUGUUUGUUUACUGCUAUCUCACACAUGUUCGUUCAUAAACACAUGGAUCA